AACUUGAGGUCUUCCAUAAUGCCCUUCUCAAAUACUGUCCUAAAAGAUUGCACUUUGAAUAUGCAUCAAUGCAAGCGCGAACAAUGUUGGCAGUCAUGGACCAUAACGAGAACCACAACACACAAUGACAAGGCACAAACAGAACAACAGGCAAACAAGCAAAAACAGCAUCUGGCCUCCAAAGACACAAUGUGGUUUUCCAAAAACAAUCCAAACAAUGGAUUGCCAGACCUGUCUACCAGGAAACAACACAGACUUUCAGGAAUGACAUGAUGGAUGCAGUCUUUCAGAGAAGGCUGGAUCCAUCGGUGAAAUACCAAGAUCCCGAAUCCCAUUUCUAAGUUCCCCGUUUGGCUGCUAACCUCGCCAGAGUUUCAAAACCCAGGAAGGAGGAUGUCAUUUCCGGACACACAUCAAGGUUCACAGGUCCAGACUCAUAAUGGUAUGAUAUGGUUAUAAAUAAAUAAAU